rnacentral:rRNA from 1 species
GUGGGGAAUAUUGCACAAUGGGGGAAACCCUGAUGCAGCGACGCCGCGUGAGUGAAGAAGUAUCUCGGUAUGUAAAGCUCUAUCAGCAGGGAAGAAAAUGACGGUACCUGACUAAGAAGCCCCGGCUAACUACGUGCCAGCAGCCGCGGUAAUACGUAGGGGGCAAGCGGUAUCCUGAAUUACUGGGUGUAAAGGGUGCGUAGGUGGUAUGGCAAGUCAGAAGUGAAAACCCAGGGCUUAACUCUGGGACUGCUUUUGAAACUGUCAGACUGGAGUGCAGGAGAGGUAAGCGGAAUUCCUAGUGUAGCGGUGAAAUGCGUAGAUAUUAGGAGGAACAUCAGUGGCGAAGGCGGCUUACUGGACUGAAACUGACACUGAGGCACGAAAGCGUGGGGAGCAAACAGGAUUAGAUACCCGAGUAGUCC